UGAACUAGAAGCAUAAGAAAAAAGCGAAGAACCAUGCUUUGAAAGUGUCUUGUUUUCAAUGCUAUAGGUAGAGGAUGAAGCAUGAGUUAAGAAAGCGCUUGUGACACUAUGUGAACUUCACAGAAGAAAAGAUUGGUUUCACGAGAGAACAACUAAUAUAGUGUUCACUAUUUGUUUCCAUCCAGCACCAAGGAUCAUGAAAGCAUCUUUAUCGUCUCAAUAUGAACAAGACUAAGCAGCAAAGGUAGAAUUUGAUUCACAGAGAGGCGAUGGGUGUGAUUCUCAAGUGUCAGAUCAUUAGUGAUUUGAUUUUCUAAUGUAACAAUAUAGCUUUAAGAUAAUUCUGUUACAGUAAAGAGAUUUUAU